UUGCAUGGCAAAACUUAGUUUUAACUCAUACCAGUUCGAUAUAAGAAAUAACUAGAAAUAAUUUGAAUCGCUGCAAUUAGAAAACUUAAAAAAUUUGUUUUCGAUUCUCUUUGAUAAAAAAAAUUUGAAAUAAUUCAAGGCUUCAUAGCUCGAAUAGCUAUCUUACGAAAAGUUAGAUUUUCCUGGGAUUGAUUGGCUGUAUAGAAUAAGUUGCAAUCUUUCAAACCAAUUGAAAUUUGGAGACGAGCUUGCUGGUAAAGAACUGAACUGACGACAGCCAAGUUGCCGAACUCUUCGCUAGCUUUUCCGAGAAGCGAAAACUGCGGAAAUUUCCACUGACUACAACCUUUUUAAUCACGGAAUUUUAUCUGGAAACCGAGUGCCAGUCCACCCAAAAAUUACCCUGCAGCAAUAGCCUGUAUCACUGGAUAAAGAAGCAACUUGACCAUAAUACCGAAUAUCAAACACUUUCUACGGGUUCCCGCGAAACAAGCCUAUUUUUCGUAGCGCUCAGUUUGCAAAGUGGACCCCGCUGAAAUUUCUCGAGUGGAUGUAAUAUCACAGAGACUAGCGUUAUCAAUCAGGUCAAACGUGGAAUACUCUGAAGAAUUUCUAACGCUCAACCAAACAGAAAGACUAAGUCUCUGAAGUCUAAAAGUGUCGUGCAUUUUGCCAGUUAGGAAAUCAGAUUUCGAAAGGCUCCAUACACUGCUCUAGCUGAGGUUGCAUUAUUUUGUCUUCUGUUGAGGAACACGAACAUAAACAGUUUUUCCCCUCGUACGAGAAAAAGCGCAGUUGCGCACUAAACGAACUCACUAUAACGAAAAUGUAGCUUCGUGCAGGAAAAACUUCAUCUA